AUCUCUAUUUCAAGCAACAGGGUAGAAGGGCAGAAAAAGCAAGAAUAUUGGUGUAUGCUUGCUGUUUUUUGAGAAUGGUUUCUGUAAGUCAUUGCUUAAUAGGUUGCUUUCCUUAUAACUCAUUGUCUAGACCAUAGUAUGUAGGCAUGUUGAGCUCCAAGGGGUUUGGAGGACUGUGGUCUUCAAGAUAACAAUUAAGGUAUUCUAUUCGCAUGAAAAAGGAAGGAUUAGAUAAUGAAAGAGGAGCAGUAUCUGUCAUAGCUGAAAAUAGACAGAAAGAUAGUUAAAGAGUGAGACUUGAAUAAGGGUUUCUGUCUACUGAAAUGUUAUCAAAUGCUCAUAAAAAUUUUAAAUAUACUUUUAAAUAGAACAUCUGAAAAAUUUUAAAUAUACCUUUAAACAGAAUGUCUGAAAAAUUUUAAAUAUACUUUAAAAUAGAACAAUUAAAUAUAAUACUUUGUAUCCUUGCUGUGAGAGUAAAACUGUGCCAUUUAAAAUUGAGUCACUACUGUUAAAAUAGUCACCACUGUUAAAAUAGAGUUAAAAUAUUUCAAUCAAAUAUUUAUAUUUCAAAUAAUUUUGACGAUAAUAGUAUAGCUUUGGCAAGGAGUUGAGUACAACCAGUGAUUUAAAAAAAUCACAAGAUUAUAUUGUUGAAAAUUUUAAAAUGCUAAAUCAAUAAAAGAAAUUUUAAAAGUUAGAUUUAAAAAGUCUUGAAUAGAUUUGUUUCUUGAAGACAAAU
rnacentral:lncRNA from 1 species